AUUGAACGCUGGCGGCAGGCUUAACACAUGCAAGUCGAACGCGUGGCGCACGGGUGAGAAAUAUCUGGGAAAAUGCCCGAUGGAGGGGGGUAACUCCUGGAAACGGUAGCUAAUACCGCAUACCCUCGGAUGUGCCCAGAUGGGAUUAGCGAGUAGGUGGGGUAACGGCUCACCUAGGCGACGAUCCCUAGCUGGUCUGAGAGGAUGACCAGCAACACUGGAACUGAGACACGGUCCAGACUCCUACGGGAGGCAGCAGUGGGGAAUAUUGCACAAUGGGCGCAAGCCUGAUGCAGCCAUGCCGCGUGUAUGAAGAAGGCCUUCGGGUUGUAAAGUACUUUCAGCGAGGAGGCGUUACUCGCAGAAGAAGCACCGGCUAACUCCGUGCCAGCAGCCGCGGUAAUUC
rnacentral:rRNA from 1 species